UACGAAGGGGGCUAGCGUUGUUCGGAAUUACUGGGCGUAAAGCGCACGUAGGCGGAUCGAUCAGUCAGGGGUGAAAUCCCAGGGCUCAACCCUGGAACUGCCUUUGAUACUGUCGAUCUGGAGUAUGGAAGAGGUGAGUGGAAUUCCGAGUGUAGAGGUGAAAUUCGUAGAUAUUCGGAGGAACACCAGUGGCGAAGGCGGCUCACUGGUCCAUUACUGACGCUGAGGUGCGAAAGCGUGGGGAGCGAUCCGG
rnacentral:rRNA from 1 species